UACGUAGGGUGCGAGCGUUGUCCGGAAUUACUGGGCGUAAAGAGCUCGUAGGUGGUUUGUCGCGUUGUUCGUGAAAACUCACAGCUUAACUGUGGGCGUGCGGUCGAUACGGGCAUCACUGGAGUUCGGCAGGGGAGACUGGAAUUCCUGGUGUAGCGGUGAAAUGCGCAGAUAUCAGGAGGAACACCGGUGGCGAAGGCGGUCUCUGGGCC
rnacentral:rRNA from 1 species